rnacentral:rRNA from 1 species
UACAGAGGUCUCGAGCGUUGUUCGGAUUUAUUGGGCGUAAAGGGUGCGUAGGCGGUGUGGCAAGUCAAGUGUGAAAUCUCGGAGCUCAACUUCGAAACUGCACUUGAUACUACUAUGCUAGAGGGUUGUAGAGGAGACCGGAAUUCACGGUGUAGCAGUGAAAUGCGUAGAUAUCGUGUGGAAGACCAGUUGCGAAAGCGGGUCUCUGGGCAAUUCCUGACGCUGAGGCACGAAGGCUAGGGGAGCAAACGGG